rnacentral:rRNA from 1 species
UACGAAGGGGGCUAGCGUUGCUCGGAAUCACUGGGCGUAAAGCGCACGUAGGCGGAUUGUUAAGUCAGGGGUGAAAUCCUGGAGCUCAACUCCAGAACUGCCUUUGAUACUGGCGAUCUCGAGUCCGGGAGAGGUGAGUGGAACUCCGAGUGUAGAGGUGAAAUUCGUAGAUAUUCGGAAGAACACCAGUGGCGAAGGUGGCUCACUGGCCCGGUACUGACGCUGAUGUGCGAAAGCGUGGGUAGCGAACAGG